UUCACGUAUUUUUCAUUGCGCUGUGAAUAUUUUUUACUGGUUGUAGUGUUGUUAAAGUUUAAUCAUGCCAAAUUGCACGGUUGUAAACAACGCCGAUAUUUUGUAAUCUCUCUUUGAAUUUGAGGCCUUACGAGUGUACCUGAACCGCUGUUGUUAUAAGGGUUGAGUAAUGCAUCGUUCCUUCAUUUUUAUGACAGUUGUUUUCAAUUUCUCUCUCUUAAGUACACGGAAGAGCAUACUCGACUGCUCGAGGUACUUUGCCGAAUUUUUGGGGAAAAACCAAAGGGAAAAGAGAGGAAAGAAGACGUCGCUAUGUACGCCGACGAUAUUAAACAAAUUUGGGAGGUCUCUGUUUUAGUGGAUUCACCGAAUGUGCACCCAAGUUGUAUCACUGGAGAGCUAGCAGCCUGUUGAAAACCAUCUGCAGCACAGAAGUGGCAGCGAAACAGACAGGCCAGGGGUAGUGCAGUGAUUCCCUGUAAAUGGAUGCUAUCAGUAUCCCAAGGAAUGGCACAAAGGGUAGAGAGAUUGUUUGUGUUCAUUUAUCAGACGUUGAGGGCCAUGCAAACAUGUCCUGCAUUCUGCUAAGAGGCAAAUUCAAGGUCGAGAGUACCUAAAGAGUGAAUAAAAUAAAAUGGAUUUUACUUUCAAGACUGAAUUUGCUUUGUAUACUUUAAAUAAAUAUAUAAUAAAACCUUGGGACAUGUG